rnacentral:rRNA from 1 species
UACGUAGGUGGCAAGCGUUGUUCGGAUUUACUGGGCGUAAAGCGCGUGUAGGCGGCAACGCAAGUCGGGCGUGAAAUCCCACGGCUCAACCGUGGAAGUGCACUCGAAACUGCGUAGCUAGAGUCCUGGAGAGGAAGGUGGAAUGCUUGGUGUAGAGGUGAAAUUCGUAGAUAUCAAGCGGAACACCGGUGGCGAAGGCGGCCUUCUGGACAGUGACUGACGCUGAGACGCGAAAGCGUGGGGAGCAAACAGG